AAGCGGUAUAGAUAAUGGAUGGAUGGAUGGUUAACAACAGAUGAAUAAUAUGCAGCAUUUUGCUUCUACAAAUCUGUCUACAACAUCCCUUUGAAAUCACAGUGUUGCAUCACUGAAUAGAACAGGCUAGGGCAGGGGGGGAUACUUGUGGUUCUUAGGGUGACCUGAUGCCCACAGGCACCAUGUUGGUGACCCCUGUCUUAAAGUGUAUCAAAAUAACUUGGAUGACCAAGAUUGUCUGUGAAUUUAAAGGUGUAUUUGCCCUGAUGGACCUUGGUUUGAUUUUGAGUCAAGAUAGAGAUUCAAAACAGGGUUAUGAAUUUUUUUUUAAUAUCCUUGGCAUGGUGAGGUGGAAACAGAUGGUUCGCUGUGGCGACCUCUGAGGGGAAAAGCCGAAAGGGAAAGAAGAAGAUUGUCAUGGAAGCAUCAUAUAGACAAUUUAUUAACACAUUUUUAUGUGCAGAAAUUGUAUGUCUCCUAUAAUAACUGCCUUGACAUCACACAUGCAAAUUGUAGCCCUUACUUGAAGGCACUACUUAAGCAAAUUAUCUUCAUUCGCAUGGUGACUCUAGAAUGCAAACCAUGAGAAUACAAAGAGACAUUUACACUCAGACAUUUAAUACUUGUUUAACUGUAUUAUUUUCAGCGGUAAUAAAAAUUAAUUGAAAUUUAAUUACGUUUUAGCGGUGUAUCAUUUCAUACUAUUACAAUACAUGAAAAAAAUAUAAAACCAUGUUUUUCUUUCUGAUUAUUUAAAAAUAAUCACGACUAAACUGACAAGAGGUUUUGAUUACAUCCAUCUUGUCAUUUUCAUAGACUAGACUUAAGGCAGCAACUCCCCACCACCGGGCCACGGGACACCUUGGACCAUGCUGGGGAAAAAAAGAAACUUUAUCGGUUUUUUUUAAUUAAAUAGGGCUGAAAAACACAUUUUAAAUAUUUUAUUUUGAAAAGUGACUGGAUUCUUUCCUUUAAAUACAUGACAUCAGUCAAGGUCAUAAAAACAAAUGUAAGUGCCAUGAGAGAUUUUUGACGUGAGAGCAACAUACUUGGUGUCUAAGCUAAAAAGUCAUUCAAUAUCUGUGCGCAAAAAUAAACUGUGGAUUCGUGUUUAUUGUAAUA